rnacentral:rRNA from 1 species
GAUGAACGCUGGCGGCGUGCCUAAUACAUGCAAGUCGAGCGAACAGGCGAGGAGCUUGCUCCUCUGACGUUAGCGGCGGACGGGUGAGUAACACGUGGAUAACCUACCUGUAAGACUGGGAUAACUUCGGGAAACCGGAGCUAAUACCGGAUAAUAUAUUGACCCGCAUGGUUCAAUAGUGAAAGACGGUUUUGCUGUCACUUAUAGAUGGAUCCGCGCCGCAUUAGCUAGUUGGUAAGGUAACGGCUUACCAAGGCAACGAUGCGUAGCCGACCUGAGAGGGGGAUCGGCCACACUGGAACUGAGACACGGUCCAGACUCCUACGGGAGGCAGCAGUAGGGAAUCUUCCACAAUGGGCGAAAGCUUGACGGAGCAACGCCGCGUGAGUGAUGAAGGUCUUCGGAUCGUAAAACUCUGUUAUUAGGGAAGAACAAAUGUGUAAGUAACUAUGCACGUCUUGACGGUACUUAAUCAGAAAGCCACGGCUAACUACGUG